rnacentral:rRNA from 1 species
AGAGUUUGAUCCUGGCUCAGAUUGAACGCUGGCGGCGUGCCUAACACAUGCAAGUCGAGCGGUAACAGGUGUAGCAAUACAUGCUGACGAGCGGCGAACGGGUGAGUAAUGCUUUGGAAUCUUCCCAGUAGUGGGGAAUAACCAGUCGAAAGAUUGGCUAAUACCGCAUACGUCUGUAAAGGGAAAGCGGGGGCUCGUAAGACCUCGCGCUAUUGGAUGAGCCAAAGUCGGAUUAGCUAGUUGGUGGGGUAAUGGCCUACCAAGGCGACAAUCCGUAGCUGGUCUGAGAGGACGACCAGCCACACCGGAACUGAGACACGGUCCGGACUCCUACGGGAGGCAGCAGUGGGGAAUAUUGGACAAUGGGGGAAACCCUGAUCCAGCGACGCCGCGUGUGUGAAGAAGGCCUGCGGGUUGUAAAGCACUUUUAGUGGGGACAAAAAGCUACGGAUUAAUACUCUGUGGUCUUGAUUUAACCCAAAGAAAAAGCACCGGCUAACUCUGUGCCAGCAGCCGCGGUAAUACAGAGGGUGCGAGCGUUAAUCGGAAUUACUGGGCGUAAAGCGCGCGUAGACGGUUUUGUAAGUCAGAUGUGAAAUCCCUGGGCUCAACCUGGGAACUGCAUUCGAGACUGCAUGGCUAGAGUAUGGAAGAGGGAAGUGGAAUUUCCCGGUGUAGCGGUGAAAUGCGUAGAUAUCGGAAGGAACACCAGUGGCGAAAGCGACUUCCUGGUCCAAUACUGACGUUCAUGUGCGAAAGCGUGGGGAGCAAACAGGAUUUGAUACCCUGUAGUC